CCAAUAGCGUAUAUUAAAGUUGUUGCAGUUAAAAAGCUCGUAGUUGAACCUUAGGCCCGUGCGGGCGGUCCGUCCUCGUGGCGAGCACUGUCCGUUGCGGGUCUCACCUUCUGGCGAGCGUAGAUGCCAUUUAUUUGGUGUCUGCGGGAACCAGGACCUUUACCUUGAAAAAAUUAGAGUGCUCAAAGCGGGCUCCGACGCUUGAAUACAUUAGCAUGGAAUAAUGAAAUAGGACGAUGGUUCUAUUUUGUUGGUUUCCGGGACCGUCGUAAUUAUUAAUAGGGAUAGUUGGGGGCAGUCGUAUUCAAUUGUCAGAGGUGAAAUUCUUGGAUUUAUUGAAGACGAACUACUGCGAAAGCAUUUGCCAAGGAUGUUUUCAUUAAUCAAGAACGAAAGUUGGGGGAUCGAAGACGAUCAGAUACCGUCGUAGUCUCAACCAUAAACUAUGCCGACUGGGAAUCGGGCGAUGUUACUUUUACGACUCGCUCGGCGCCCCGAG
rnacentral:rRNA from 1 species